GAAAGGUCUUUUCCUGAGAGCAAAAGGGAGCCCUUAAAAGAUCUGAAACUAAUGCAACACGAUGGAUUAAAAUCAAAUAAGGCAUCUAUCUAGUUGCACCGUCGGGAUGGGGGAGGGGAAAUGUGGAGGCGGAGAGAGCAAUGAACAGGUAACUGUGGUAAUCCAGGUGGUAGACGGGUGGCUAGCACUAGGGUAGUCAGAGCUUGGCAGGAGCGACAACCAGACAAGAAGUGCGAACAUAAAACGGAUCUGUGGGCUUAAAGAGAUGGGAGGGGGGCUGAUGACCGGGCUAUAGUGAUGCCAUUGCUGAGAUGGGAAAAACGCCAGGUUUGGAGAGAAGGUGCGGAACUCCGUUUAGAACGCGUAGAUUUUGAAAUUUCUGUGGCAUCCAAGUUAAAUAUGCCUGGACUUCAGGACAGAGGUGCUGAAGCAAGAUGACUCUCUGGAAAUGGACGAGACUACCCCGAGCAUGCACAGAGGAAAAGCAUCAAAGCUCACACCAGGCUUUUUUAACUCACACAACUCUAAUUGCAGCGAUUCUGGAGGCUGAGACAGGAGAAUUUGGAGGAUUACAAGUUUGAGGACAGCCUCAGCAACUUGGCCAGACCCUGUCUCAAAAUAAAAAAGGACUGAAAUGAAUGGAGUUGGAGAAUACCAUGCUAAGUGAAGUAAGCCAAUCCCAAAAAACCAAAGGCCAAAUGUUUUCUCUGAUAAGUGCGUGCUAAUCCAUAAUGGUGGGGGGAAUGGGAUAAGUGGAGGAACUUUGGAUUGGGCAAAGAGUGGGGACAGAAGGGAGCAUGGGUGUAGGACAGAUGUUGGAAUGAGACUGACAUCAUUACCCUAGGUACACGUAUGAUUGCAUGAAUGGUGUGCCUCUAUUCGUGUACAGCCAGAGAAGUGAAAAAUUGUGCUCCAUUUGUGUACAAUGAAUCGAAGAGCAUUCUGCUGUCAUGUAUAACUGAUUAGAACAAAUAAAAAAAUAAAAUAAAAAGGACUGGGGAUGUGGUUCAGUGGUAAAGGGACCUUGGGUUCAUUCCCCAGUACUAAAAAAGGGGGGGCGGGGAGGGGGAGAAAGAGGAGUAGAAAGCCCUGGUAAAGGAGAGAAGAUGCACAUUAAAUCAAAGCACAAAUAGAAAGUGGAGAACUUGGAAUAAAACAAACUUGAUAUUUGCUUUUUAAAAACUGGAUAGGAAACCAUUAUUGUAUUAGCUUCAGUUUUAUGCCUUCAAAAAAAAAACCUCAGUGAUUUCAUUUAAUUGAAUAAUCAACAAGAAUAAAGACUUGGAAAUGACAAAUGAAGGAAGAAAGGCAUCUAGAAAAGAAAAUAAAUGUAAUGACAUGAUUCAUUGCAAGA